AUUGAACGCUGGCGGCAGGCCUACCACAUGCAAGUCGAGCGGAGCGGCGGACGGGUGAGUAAUGCCUAGGAAUAUGCCUGGUAGUGGGGGAUAACGUCCGGAAACGGGCGCUAAUACCGCAUACUAUCACAUGAGCCUAGGUCGGAUUAGCUGGUUGGUGGGUUAAAGGCCUACAAAGGCGACUAUACGUAACUGGUCUGAGAGGAUGAUCAGGCACACUGGAACUGGUACAUGUGCACGACUCCUACGGUAGGCAGCAGUGGGGAAUAUUGGACAAUGGUCGAAAGCCUGAUCCAGCCAUGCCGCGUGUGUGAAGAAGGUCUUCGUAUUGGAAAGCACUGUAAGUUGGGAGGCGUUACCAACAGAAUAAGCACCGGCUAACAUCGUGCCAGCAGCCGCGGUAAUUC
rnacentral:rRNA from 1 species